CGCAAUACAAAAGUGAGCAAAAAGUAUUUGCUACUUCUCUGGAGAACUUUGACUCGAUCGAUUUCCCAUAAUUCGAAAACCGGAUAUUUGUUUGGAUUCUUCUCCAGUAUGGUGGCCUCAGAAAUCAGCGGCGUGCCAGUCCUCUAGCCGCUUCGUGGUUCCCCACUUAUUCAGAGAGGCUAGGCAGCAUUGUUAAGUUCCGAAGGAGGUUUCGGAGCAUGGAUCAAAUAGAUACAAGUUCAACUAAUUUAGACUUAGACAUUGAUUUGGAAAGUGGGGGGACGAGCGAUGAAGAAGCAAGCAAAAGCAAUGUUUUGAGCUCUAAAAAAUCAGAAUAUCUCCUUGAUAGAAAAGCAAGUGGACUUGUGAGCUCAUAUUCUCUCUGUGGCUUGACAAAAUUUGAAGAUUGUUCACAUCCAUUCAACAAAUUUAUUACUUCUGAUGAUAUUUCUGUCAAGAAUGAGGAGCAGAUGAAGAAGAUUCGGGAGGAGAUAGUGGAUUUUGUAGAUAAGAGGAUGGACAAGGAAAACCCUAAGAGGCAUACUUCUGCUAAGCCUUCAAAGCCUCCUCGUCCACCCAGAGGUCCCUCAUUACAUGCUUCUGAUAUGAUGCUACUGAAAGAAAUCUCUGAGCUCAACUUGAAACGCAAAAGAUUGGAAAGAAUAAGAACCUUGAAGAAAACAAAGGAGAAGGGAUCAUCGUCACUGAGUAGCAAUCUUAUUGCAUGUUUCGUGACCCUAAUUUUUUUCCUUGUGAUCAUUUUUCAAGGUUUCCUUGGUUCAAGAGUAUGAUGGCGAUAACAAAGACUUACCAGUUUUCCAAGUAAUGUCCAGUAAUUCUGUUUUGACGUUCAAAUAUAAUGGCAUGAUUCAUUCAUUAUGGAGCUUCAUUAACUACAACAAGAAGCAUGGGGGAAGGAGCAGGGUCAGAUUUCUUGCUGUGUAAAGUAUAAUAAUUAUGAUGAUUGUCUGCAUUUGAGGGGAGUUUAUAAGGUUCUACUUCCGAUCAGGAUGCCGGUCAUGUGUUUUAUUUCUCUUCAUAAUGCAUCUCAUGAGUCAUUCUGCUGUUGAGCUCCGGCGACACUCAAGAAAUAUCUGACUCUAUAAUCUGUAAGUUCCUUGUACAUUGAUUUAAGACGUUUGCUUAUAAAUUAGUUCAUGACCUUUCUGAAAAUUUAUUUUCAGCAAUUACCUUUUUAAUAAAACGAAUUAGGCUUUGUUUAGAUAUGUUUUGAAAGAGAUUUGUGAAAUGAAAAAACACAGAUUUAAUUAUGCUUAUAUAAUUGACGAAGAUCAUGAGUGAAUAUAUAGGAUAUAAGGAUUAUUUAAUAUUUCUUUCGUAUGUACAUUUAAAAUGAAACGUAAAACAAUUGGCCUGUAAUAUUGGAAAAAUGUUGCAUGUCUUUUAAGUUGGUUGCGCUUCCAUUAUGUAUGACAUUACAAUAUAUAUGUAUAUAUAGUCGGAAAAUGAGUGAACGGAUCCUAUAAGAUAUUCUUGAAAUCUCUUAAGAAUAGAUUGUUUUGUGUUAGGUGGAUUUGUAAAGAAAAUGAGAUUAAACAAGAAUCUCACCAAGAACAAAUACACCAAACGAAUCAAACUUGGAUUUGAAACCAAAAAACAGGGAUAAGAUGCAUAAACAAGAAAUGUUGGAUUAAGAAUUCACCCGUGGGUUAAAUAUAACUAUUUUGGGCUAUCAGUCAGAUUAAGCCUAUUAAGUGAUCUAUUAAAUUAUUGGACUUAAAUGUAUUUAGUAAGUGCAGGUCUCUUAGGUGCAGAAAUCCGAUAACUUAUUAAUUGGGUAACGAGGCCAAUUAAUAAUUAAGGAUAUAAAUUAGGAUUGUAAUCCCAGGUUUAGACGCAACAUCCAUUAUUUUUUAUAUCUCAUCGUAAUGGCGGAAACCCUAGAGAUUUUUUUAGGAGUUGCGUCAUAAGUUUGAAGAACACAAAACCUUUCAUCAAUUUGUAGAUCCGAAUCUACUUGCGUUAUUGGAAUCAUGUUAAAUUUAAUUACCUAAUUUUUU